rnacentral:misc_RNA from 1 species
CAAAACACGCGGCACUUGUACUUUGGAUGUCCAAAGCAAGACAAAAAAAAGGAGAGAGUAGUAGUAGUAGAAAAGGACGGGCCCAAAGCAAGCCAAGCAGUAACAACAUGUCCGCCGCCGCUCUGGGAGGGAGGGAUCAUUCAUUAGUUAGUUACCGUGUUGCGCACCACCAUCGACGGCGCGGCGCCGUGGCGGCACAAAUCCAGGCUGACCUCCAUGCCGGAGUUGCCGCACCCGACCACCAGCACCUUCCUCCCCGCGAACUCCUCCCCGGACCUGUAGUCGCACGUGUGCAGGACGCGGCCGGCGAAGCGCGCGGCGCCGGGCAGGUCGGGCAGGCGCGGCACGGCGUUCUCGCCCGUGGCCACGACGAGCCAGCGCGCCAGGAGCAGGUCGCCGGCGCCGCCGCCGCCAGCGCCCGCCAGGCGGAGCGCCCAGGCGCCGGCGCCCGCGUCGAACGCGGCCUCCUCCACGCGGGCGCCGAACCGCGGCGCCACGCCCGCCGCCGCGGCGUACGCCUCCAGGUACGCCACGAACUGGCCCUUGGACGGGUACGCCGGGUACCCCCGCGGGAAGGGCAGCAGCGGCAGCUCGCAGAAGCGCUUCGGCAGGUGCAGCGUCAGGCGGUCGUAGGUGCGGUGGCGCCACGUGGACGCCAGCGAGUCCGACAUCUCCAGCACCGUGGCCGGCACGCCGCGGGCCGCCAGGCACGCCGCCACGGCCAGCCCCGACGGGCCCGCGCCCACGAUGACCGCGCCGGGGACCCACGACGCGCGCCCUGCCUGGUCCUCCUGCCGCGCCAGCUGCUGCUUGUCGUCGUCCAUCGCGCGCCCCGGCGCCUGGCUUGGAGCGAGCGAGUCUGCUGCUGCUGCUGGCCGGACGGACGGACGGACGGACGCUAGCUGGAGCCUGGAGGGAGCUGCCUGCGUUUUCUGUUUUUUUUUUACCGUGUGACAGGUGAUCGGGGUUUUACUGUGGAAGGGGGGUUUUAUAGGGGUUUGGGUGUCGACGACGGAGCACGUACGCGCUGCGCAGUGCUCUCCUGCUCGCGCCGAUGCUGUGCUGUGCUCGUACUAGCUACUAGGUGGGUAGCAAGCAGCGGUACUAGUAGUGGGAGUGGAAUGGAGCCGUGUGACGCGAGUGCAUGGGUUCCCCCUCCCUCCCCCUCCGAUCCGUGUGGAAAACGAAAUACGAGCGGCGGAGUAUGUUGCAAUGCUCGUCGUGAGGCAUGGUCCCUCCAUGCCACGCUAGUCUAGUCACUGUACUAGGUGGGCAUGCAUGCAGUGGGUCCUUUGCUCGUCCUCUGCGCGCGGUUGCAAAUUUGGAAUAGCGGCACUUGUCACUCUCGC